GUGUGCUGCUGAUGUCAGCAGGAGAAACCACUCUCCACAGGCAGUUUUGAAGGACCUCUCCUUUUGGGGGAGGAAGAGUAAAUGCUCCUGAGGGGAGCUCAGUCUCUUCCGGAGUGGUUUUCCCUUGUGGUGGUCUGAGCAGCAGGAGCAGAUGAGUCCUGAGGGCCCUGGCUGCAAAGCUGUUUUUCCAUUGAAGCUACGGACCCCAGGUGAUCUAAAUGAGAGGAGAAUAUGGAUAACCUCUCGCUUCGGCAGUGUUAAUCAGAUACCACUGGCCUGUGAGAAUGAAGAUCCACACCAAGCCAUUAUCCGUCAUUUAUACGGAAGACCUAGCGAUGAUCAGGAAGAAUUUGUGGCAUAAUUCAUUCUGGCUCGGUGUUU